AGGACGAACGCUGGCGGCGUGCUUAACACAUGCAAGUCGAACGGUGACGGAGGAGCUUGCUCCUCCUGAUCAGUGGCGAACGGGUGAGUAACACGUGAGUAACCUGCCCCAGACUCUGGAAUAACCCCGGGAAACCGGAGCUAAUACCGGAUACGAGACGGAGUCGCAUGGCUACCGUCUGGAAAGUUUUUCGGUCUGGGAUGGACUCGCGGCCUAUCAGCUUGUUGGUGAGGUAACAGCUCACCAAGGCGACGACGGGUAGCCGGCCUGAGAGGGCGAUCGGCCACACUGGGACUGAGACACGGCCCAGACUCCUACGGGAGGCAGCAGUGGGGAAUAUUGCACAAUGGGCGAAAGCCUGAUGCAGCGACGCCGCGUGAGGGAUGAAGGCCUUCGGGUUGUAAACCUCUUUCAGCAGGGAAGAAGCGAAAGUGACGGUACCUGCAGAAGAAGCACCGGCUAACUACGCGCCAGCAGCCGCGGU
rnacentral:rRNA from 1 species